AAACCUUUGUUUUUUUCUUUGGUGUGUUGCAGCAAAGGGUUGUGAGAGCAAAGCAACAGCAGCAAAGCUCCUUUUCCUUUGGCCUUCCUUUGUUUUUUUCUUUGUAACUUUCUUUUUUUUAGUACAGAAAGAGAGGGAAUGGGAACACCGAAUCCACCCUUUUGUAAAAUUUGGGAUCUCGUUCUCUCUUGGUAAUGUCAGUGUAGAAUUUUAAGUUUUUCAGAAAAAAGAAUGGAAGAAAAAGAAGCCAUCAAUGGCUAAUUUUCUUUUCUUCAAUGGUGCAAAACCCCCUUAAAUCAUUUUCUAUAAUUGUUUGUGAAGCCAUGUGAUGGGUAUUUUCUGGCGCUGUGAUGAUGAGUCAAUAUCAUCCAUUUUACACUUGUGUGUGUUGGGGGCUGGAAUUUUGGUUUGGAUUUGUCAUUACAGGAUGGUGCGGUUGGGGAUGGAGCUUAUCUGUUCAUGCAAUGCCCCUAUCGGUUUGCUGUCCACAGACUGCUGUGUGCUGCUCUGUCCAAUCUUUUUCAGCCUCAGAUUGGUCCUGUGGUCAACAACUGGAAACUGUGCGGUAGAGGUAGAUUCCCCUCUUCAUUACAUCUCUUUUCAAAUUCUCUUUUAGCUUUAAUUUAGAAUUGUGAUCUGUGGUAUAUAGGAAGAGAAAGAUUAAUGGUUUUUUUCUCUUUAAUAUGAAAUCUAGAGUAGAGUAAUGGGUGAAAAGGCAUCACUGUCAUGGAUUUGUUGUCUCUUCUGAUAUAUUUUAUGUCGUCUCCCACUGCUUGUUGUCUCUAUAUAUUGAUUUCUUUAUUAUGGAUAUCUGUUUCUUGAAAAAGAUUCUCAACUCUUUCAUGAUCAUCUUAGCGUCGCUAGGAAAACACGAAAAGAUUCUCAACUGGUUCUUAACCAUUAGUGUGCGGUGUUAUUAGGAAGAAAUGAUACAGAUUCUUUUGGACUCUGUUGUUUAAUUCACCCUACACCACUCCUAGUGCUAUUAGGAGAGAGGUCCAUUAUAAUGAUGUGAUUACUAAGCUCUCUUUGUUAUCUCUUAGCAUUUAAAAAGAGUUCGAUUCGUACUUUUUGGUAUCAUUCAAUGUCGUGUGGCAUCAAGCAGGAUCGAUCGAUGGAUCGUCUUGGGAUGAGAGAAGUGUCAUGCUGCCCUGCAUUUGAGGCGACAAGGAUGGAGGAAAGAGAUCAUUGAGAGAGGCGCUUUCACAUCUUCUUAACCCGAAAUGGCAAAUGGCUGGGGAGAGGAAAGGUUCCUUUUUUUAGGGUACCCCCGGGAACAGAUCCAGUGGAGACGGGGUGGGGCCUGUAGCUCAGAGGAUUAGAGCACGUGGCUACGAACCACGGUGUCGGGGGUUCGAAUCCCUCCUCGCCCACAACCGGCCAAAAAGGGAAGGACUUUUCCCUCUGGGGGUAGGAAAAUCAUGAUCGGGAUAGCGGACCCAAAGCUAUGGAACUUGGGUGUGGGUCUUUUGUCGAAAUGGAAUGGCCUUAUCUUUUUAUUUUUUCUUUUUCGUUAAUGGGUUAAGGGCGGGGGUUCCGUUAUAAAUUAAAUAUAGUAUACCCAACCCGAAUCAGCAUAUUUUUAUAGUGAAAUCCCUCUUAUUAGGCAAGCCGAUGGCUAACUUGCCUGUGCUAUUAUAGCAUUCGGCUUGAGGAGGUCGAUUACACACGAGCACGAAUGAGCAAAGAACAUACCUUCCGGUACCGAGCGACUAAGAUCACCUGAAAGGUUGUUUGAAUAUUAGCGAAAGAUACCGACAUUGUAGUGAAUUGAGUACACACCUCAUCCUUUUGAGCUGAAUUUUGGUCAGGGCUGGUAAAAUGAGUACACGAAGUCUAUGGCCUUGGUUAAGUUCAAGGCUCUCAAAUAUGGUGGGGUGGGCCGAACCCCAACCCCAACUCUGUGCUAAUGAUCGUUGGGCUUUAUUAUUUGGUAUUGGUUACCAAACAUGUUUUAUGUUUAUGUUUAUGUUUAUGUCCAAGAUCCAAGAAAUAGAAAUAAGAAACAAGAACAUGGUCCAAUUAUCACGGGACAAAUAUUAAUUGAAUGUCAUUGAAUGAUCACCACAAAAAGGAAGCUUUAGAAUCACAUCUAAAUCAGUAUAGAUGAAAAUAAGUUGAAAAGUUGGAGAAAUUUGAUCUAAAUUGGAUUGGGUCAAACCUUACCAGCAAACAUGCAAUUUAUGCAAUGUUCCCUUCGACAGUGCAUGAAGCUUAUUCGACGGAGGUUGAUGUAGAAGUCGAUGGCCACUAAAUUGAAAUUGGCCUCAAAUGAGAUCGAACAACAUACGAACGACCAAAAUCAAGUGUCUAAAGGUAGAGACAUGAUGAAAGAACGAGUGAACAACCAAGAGUGUGUUAAACUAUUAGCGGUGGAUAAAAAGUUGCAUCCUUCCAGUUAGGAACUUGAUUAGGAACUUGAGGUUGUACUUGUAAACCAACCUCCGACAAA